AUAACGGUCCUAAGGUAGCGAAAUUCCUUGUCGGGUAAGUUCCGACCCGCACGAAAGGCGUAACGAUUUGGGCGCUGUCUCAACGAGAGACUCGGUGAAAUUUAAAUCCCAGUGAAGAUGCUGGGUACCCGCGACAGGACGGAAAGACCCCGUGGAGCUUUACUAUAACUUGAUACUGAAUAUUUGUGCUGCACGUGCAGGAUAGGUGGGAGACGUUUUAAGUGUGGACGCUAGUUUACACCUAGUCAUCCUUGAGAUACCACCCUUGUAGUAUGAGUAUUCUAACUCUGGUCGAUUAACUCGAUCGAGGACAGUGUCUGGUAGGUAGUUUGACUGGGGCGGUCGCCUCCCAAAAGAUAACGGAGGCGCUCAAAGGUCUGCUCAGAAUGGUUGGAAAUCAUUCGUAGCGUGUAAAGGCAUAAGCAGGCUUGACUGUGAGACAAACAGGUCGAGCAGGUACGAAAGUAGGACUUAGUGAUCCGGUGGUUCCGCAUGGAAGGGCCAUCGCUCAACGGAUAAAAGCUACCCCGGGGAUAACAGGCUCAUCUCCCCCAAGAGUCCACAUCGACGGGGAGGUUUGGCACCUCGAUGUCGGCUCAUCGCAUCCUGGGGCUGUAGUUGGUCCCAAGGGUUGGGCUGUUCGCCCAUUAAAGCGGUACGCGAGCUGGGUUCAGAACGUCGUGAGACAGUUCGGUCCCUAUCCGUCGCGGGCGCAGGAAAUUUGAGAGGACUUGUCCCUAGUACGAGAGGACCGGGAUGAACAUACCUCUGGUGUACCAGUUGUUCCGCCAGGAGCACCGCUGGGUAGCUAUGUAUGGAUGAGAUAAACGCUGAAAGCAUCUAAGUGUGAAACUCACCUCGAGAUAAGAUUUCCCAUUCUUUAUGAAGUAAGACCCCUUAUAGAUUAUGAGGUUGAUAGGUUAGAAGUGGAAGAGCAGUGAUGUUUGGAGCGGACUAAUACUAAUAGGUCGAGGACUUAACCAA
rnacentral:rRNA from 1 species